GAAGAUAGAGGUUGCGUAUUGCAAGAGUAUCCUUUUGGAAGUGUCAGGCACUGAAGAAGAAGGGAGAAAGGGUAAGACGCCGAAAGAGAAAGCUUCCAUGAGAGCUUUCGGCUUGGGCAUACAGUUAAGAGCUGUAUGACUGUCAUCGUCAGAUGGAGGGCUAUCA
rnacentral:ncRNA from 1 species